rnacentral:rRNA from 1 species
CAGUCGCCACGGUAAUACAGAGGGUGCGAGCGUUAAUCGGAUUUACUGGGCGUAAAGCGUGCGUAGGCGGCUUUUUAAGUCGGAUGUGAAAUCCCUGAGCUUAACUUAGGAAUUGCAUUCGAUACUGGGAAGCUAGAGUAUGGGAGAGGAUGGUAGAAUUCCAGGUGUAGCGGUGAAAUGCGUAGAGAUCUGGAGGAAUACCGAUGGCGAAGGCAGCCAUCUGGCCUAAUACUGACGCUGAGGUACGAAAGCAUGGGGAGCAAACAGGAUUAGAUACCCGCGUAGUCCCUGUCUCUUAUAC